rnacentral:rRNA from 1 species
GACGAACGCUGGCGGCGUGCCUAAUACAUGCAAGUCGAACGCAGUGGGGACGGGUGAGUAACACGUGGGUAACCUCCCAUCAGAGGGGAUAACACUUGGAAACAGGUGCUAAACCGAUACUGAUGGAUGGACCCGCGGUGCAUUAGCUAGUUGGUGAGGGAACGGCUCACCAAGGCCACGAUGCAUACCCGACCGGAGAGGGUGUUCGGCAACACUGGGACUGAGCCACGGCCCAGAUGCCUACGGGAGGCAGAAGUAGGGAAUCUUCGGCAGUGGCCGAAAGUGUAACCGAGCAACCCCGCGUGGGUGAAGAAGGUUUUCGGUUCGUAAAACUCUGUUGUUAGAGAAGCGGUAUCUAACCAGACAGCCACGGCUAACUACGUGCCAGCAGCCGCGGUAAUUC